rnacentral:rRNA from 1 species
GACGAACGCUGGCGGCGUGCCUAAUACAUGCAAGUUGAGCGCUGAAGGUUGGUUCUUGUACCAACUGGAUGAGCAGCGCACGGGUGAGUAACGCGUGGAGAAUCUGCCUUUGAGCGGGGGACAACAUUUGGAAACGAAUGCUAAUACCGCAUAAAAACUUUAAACACAAGUUUUAAGUUUGACAGAUGCAAUUGCAUCACUCAAAGAUGAUCCCGCGUUGUAUUAGCUAGUUGGUGAGGUAAAGGCUCACCAAGGCGAUGAUACAUAGCCGACCUGAGAGGAUGAUCGGCCACAUUGGGACGGAGACACGGCCCAAACUCCGGCGGGAGGCAGCAGUAGGGAAGCUUCGGCAAUGGACGAAAGUCUGACCGAGCAACGCCGCGUGAGUGAAGAAGGUUUUCGGAUCGUAAAACUCUGUUGGUAGAGAAGAGCGUUGGUGAGAGUGGAAAGCUCAUCAAGUGACGGUAACUACCCAGAAAGGGACGGCUAACUACGUG